GAUUCCCUUAGUAAUGGCGAAUGAAACGGGAACAGCCCAUCGCUGAACCACCGGUGCUCCAGGUAACCGUGUGGAAUGUAGCGUAUGGAUGUGGCCUCUUCCACAGCUCGGACACCAGUCAAAGUUCAACUUGACAGUGGCCGCUGCCCCCAGAGGGUGAUAGGCCCGUAAGGCGGUUGUCCGGUUGUGCUGGCCGCUUCCUCGAGUAGGGUUGCUUGAAAGUGCAGCUCGAAGCGCGAGGUAAACUCCUCGUAAGGCUAAAUACAGCCCCGAGACCGAUAGCAAACAAGUACAGUGAUGGAAAUUUGAAAAGAACUUUGAAGAGAGAGUUAACAGUACGUGAAACUGUGUGGCAGUAAACGGAGCCUUCCUCGAAGUUGCCGCGUGCGGAUCCAGCCUUGGUGCCGGCUUCAGCCCCUCGUCUCUGACCAGCAAUGGCCGAGGCGGGGGAGUCUUGGAGUCGCUCCUCGGUGCAUCUCCGCGCGCGGUCUACGGUAGGAACUGUUGGGCACGGACCUCAGGCCUUGGCAAGAGUUUUCGCUCCGGCGUCAGCUGCCGAGUGUCCCGGCUCCGCGCCCGACAGGCUUGUGACCGGCUCGUAUAGCGAGCAGCCAUGCCUGCUGCGGCCGGUCUUUCUCUACCGAGUAGGUUGGUGGAGGCUUCGACCCGUCUUGAAACACGGACCAAGGAGUCUUACAUGUAUACGAGUCAAUGGGUCGACUAAACCCAUAGGCGCAGUGAAAGCAAAGGGCUUUUCUAAGUCUGAGGGAAGACGCCGGCAACGGCCGCAUUCCCGCCGUUUCCAAUCGACCUCGCUCGUUGGGAACAGGCAGAGUAUAGAUGUAUGGACCCGAAAGAUGGUGAACUAUGCCUGCUCAGACCGAAGUCAGGAGAAAUCCUGAUGGAGGGUCGUAGCGAUUCUGACGUGCAAAUCGAUCGUCGGAGGUGGGUAUAGGGGCGAAAGACUAUCAACCUCU
rnacentral:rRNA from 1 species